rnacentral:rRNA from 1 species
UCGAGAAUUUUUCACAAUGGGCGCAAGCCUGAUGGAGCGACGCCGCGUGGGGGAUGAAUGGCUUCGGCCCGUAAACCCCUGUCAUCUGGGAACAAUGCUCAUUCAAUAACACUGGAUGAGUUGAUAGUACUGGAAGAGGAAGGGACGGCUAACUCUGUGCCAGCAGCCGCGGUAAUACAGAGGUCCCAAGCGUUGUUCGGAUUCACUGGGCGUAAAGGGUGCGUAGGUGGUGAGGUAAGUCGGAUGUGAAAUCUCCGAGCUCAACUCGGAAAUGGCAUUGGAAACUACCUUGCUAGAGGAUUGGAGGGGAGACUGGAAUGCUUGGUGUAGCAGUGAAAUGCGUAGAUAUCAAGCGGAACACCAGUGGCGAAGGCGAGUCUCUGGACAAUUCCUGACACUGAGGCACGAAAGCCAGGGGAGCAAACGG